rnacentral:rRNA from 1 species
UAGGGAAUCUUCGGCAAUGGGGGGAACCCUGACCGAGCAACGCCGCGUGAGUGAAGAAGGUUUUCGGAUCGUAAAGCUCUGUUGUUAAGGAAGAACGAGUGUGAGAAUGGAAAGUUCAUACUGUGACGGUACUUAACCAGAAAGGGACGGCUAACUACGUGCCAGCAGCCGCGGUAAUACGUAGGUCCCGAGCGUUGUCCGGAUUUAUUGGGCGUAAAGCGAGCGCAGGCGGUUUGAUAAGUCUGAAGUUAAAGGCUGUGGCUCAACCAUAGUUCGCUUUGGAAACUGUCAAACUUGAGUGCAGAAGGGGAGAGUGGAAUUCCAUGUGUAGCGGUGAAAUGCGUAGAUAUAUGGAGGAACACCGGUGGCGAAAGCGGCUCUCUGGUCUGUAACUGACGCUGAGGCUCGAAAGCGUGGGGAGCGAACAGGAUUAGAUACCCUGGUAGUCCACGCCGUAAACGAUGAGUGCUAGGUGUUGGAUCCUUUCCGGGAUUCAGUGCCGCAGCUAACGCAUUAAGCACUCCGCCUGGGGAGUACGACCGCAAGGUUG